UGAGCAAUCUGCCCUUCUCAUCGGAAUAAGCGUUGGAAACGACGUCUAAUGCCGAAUACGACCUCCUUUCGCAUGAUCGGAGGUGGAAAGCUCCGGCGGAGAAGGAUGAGCUCGCGGCCUAUCAGCUAGUUGGUGUGGGUAAUGGCCCACCAAGGCGACGAUCCGUAGCUGGUCUGAGAGGACGAUCAGCCACACUGGGACUGAGACACGGCCCAGACUCCG
rnacentral:rRNA from 1 species